rnacentral:rRNA from 1 species
AGAAACUCAAAGGAAUUGACGGGGCCCGCACAAGCGGAGGAGCAUGUGGUUUAAUUCGAUGAUACGCGAGGAACCUUACCUGGGCUCGAACGUAAGAUGACUGUAGGUGAAAGCUUACAUCUCUUCGGAGCAUUUUACGAGGUGCUGCAUGGUUGUCGUCAGCUCGUGCCGUGAGGUGUCGGGUUAAGUCCCAUAACGAGCGCAACCCCUACCUUUAGUUGCCAUCAGGUUAAGCUGGGGACUCUAAAGGAACUGCCUACGCAAGUAGUGAGGAAGCGGGGAUGACGUCAAAUCAGCACGGCCCUUACGUCCAGGGCUACACACGUGCUACAAUGGCCGAUACAGAGGGCAGCUACCUGGUGACAGGAUGCAAAUCUCCAAAGUCGGUCUCAGUUCGGAUCGGAGUCUGCAACCCGACUCCGUGAAGUUGGAUUCGCUAGUAAUCGCGCAUCAGCCAUGGCGCGGUGAAUACGUUCCCGGGCCUU